rnacentral:lncRNA from 1 species
ACACACGCACAAUUUAGAAAUAGGCUGCUUGUACCUCUCUCUCUCACACAUCACAUGCACAAACACCUUUGCGUUAAUCAUGUAACUUGCAUGGUGCACACACUCUCUCGCUUUCUCACACACACAUCUGCACCCUUUUCCUAUGGUGGGUGAGUUGGUUUGGGUUCUAACCACAAUUCUGUGGACCUUACACCCUAAUCCCCAUGCGUAUUCUGUGUUUACUUAGUGUAAAGUGCAAACUUUGUCUGAGGGUAGAUUUGUUUUGCAAAUUUUCCCUAAUCACUCUGCUUAUUUGCAUACACACGGUGUAAAGUGCGGGCUUUAUCUGAGGAUGGAGUUGUUUUCUGGGAAUGCUGAUUCUAAUUGAAAAGGAUACAAUGCUAGCAUUCAGUUUUCAAAUACGCUGCUAGCAGCUCCCCAGCUGUCUGAUAUCAACAAUGGAUGGUUGGGGCGAUUGUUCCUCUACUAAGAAUUUGUUGUUGACGAUGUCCCGUUGUGGGUCUGCUAGCAAACUAUUGAAAACCCAAAUGCAAGCUUAGUAGUAGCGAGCCAAAACCAUAUCUCUUGAUUUCUUUCCUCUCAAAGGAGGGAGAUGACAAACAUGAAUUUUUACCUCGGAGGGAGAUGACAAACAUGAAUUGUUACCUUGGAGGGAGAUGACAAACAUGAAUUGUUAUUCUUAUAGCUCAAAUUUUCUUACAUGAUCGUACACAUGAGAAUAAUCCUAAACAUGAUGGAGAGUGAGAUUUGUGAACAUGAUAGAGAGAGAUUUGUGAAUUGUGAAUAUGGGCACCAUCGAUUUUGC